UACGUAGGGUGCAAGCGUUGUCCGGAAUUAUUGGGCGUAAAGAGCUCGUAGGCGGUUUGUCGCGUCUGCUGUGAAAACUCGGGGCUUAACCCUGAGCCUGCAGUGGGUACGGGCAGACUAGAGUGUGGUAGGGGAGAUCGGAAUUCCUGGUGUAGCGGUGGAAUGCGCAGAUAUCAGGAGGAACACCGGUGGCGAAGGCGGAUCUCUGGGCCAUAACUGACGCUGAGGAGCGAAAGCAUGGGGAGCGAACAGG
rnacentral:rRNA from 1 species